GUUUAAUUUUUUUUUCAAUUUUUCACUCUUUCAUUUCACCGUUUACCGAGGUARAUAAUUAUUUUUGUUUUUCGAUGUUUCGAGUUACAUUACAAUACCAAUAUACUGUAAUUCACUCUGUGAUGUUUCACAGGCUUCAAUGAAUGUGGCGAACCCUCCGUGUCUUGUCUGUACAAAAGUGACAGAAAUACUUAUGUUUUAGUCGACGCAAUUCGCCGGCUCGGUAUAAUGGACUUGGUGUACUCAAUAUUUCGGAAACAAGCUUGGAAAACACAAUUCCAAAAUGAACAAAUGGAGGAGGAUAUGUGUUUCAAAUGUCUGGCCAAGAUCUCUGCCAAUAAUAUCGUUGCCUGGGUAACCACAUUCGAUCUAGACGAUCAUGUUAACAUAAACUGGGGUUCACAUGUUUACAUAGCCGAUCUCAAUGUGCCGUGGAAGUACCAUAAAAUCACAUCAAAUAAUUGUACUGUCACGACUCUAGAAUGGGACAUGUAUGGCUAUUCAUUGUUAAUCGGAGAUAAAAAUGGAGCAGUGUCAAUAUGGACUUGCAGUACUGAUCACAACCUUACCAACUGGGUACAGGUCGGUUCAAAAGAUUUUCGUGGUGAACCUAUUAUAGCCGGCACGUUUUUCCAUUUGGGAAAAAAAUUAAUGCUUGUCAAUGAAAAAGCUGAUAAUAUUAACUAUUUUGAAAAAUUCAACUAUGUCAGGUUUACACCAUCUUUACGAACAUGGGGUGGCACUGGAUUACCUGGAUGUUUAGUUGUGUCUGCUACAGGUAUGAUUGCUGCUCUGUUAACUAAUGACAGUGGGGAGCCUAUGAUUUCAGCUACAAACAGUUUGGCUGUUGCUAGAUAUUGUAUAUCUGUUGUUGACAUCAGUUAUCGACAAAAUGGAAAUUUUUUGAUUGUCACAUCUGAUGGACGCCCMCGAUCGCCAAUACAUUGUUAUGAAGUCUCAGUAAAACUUGUUAAUGAAAAAAGUUGUACUAUAGUAUCACAGUGGCUACCUAGCUUUUUUUUAACAUUUAACGAAACAGUGGAUAGAGUUAUUUCUCAUGUAAAAUUUUUACUGCGAGAAGGUUCUGAGUCCCUUGUAAUUGGAAGUAAUAGCAGUAAUGGAUGUAUUAUAGAAACAUGGGAAUUAGUUAAAAAAACCAAUCCAAUUAAUAAAGUAUUUAAAAAAGUCAUUACUGAAGAUCAUCCUACUGUGUGUUGGAUUAAAAAAAGCUCAUUUACUGUUGGAGCUCAAUUAACAGCGUUGGCUACACCCAAAAUGUCUAUAUCCUACAAUCAAUCUUCUUGCAGUCAAUAUGUUGUAGCUGCAUUUAGUAAUCAUCAAGUAUGCUGUUUAUCCAGAGAACUAACUCAACAAUGUUUGUUUGAAUUGAGUAGCUAUUGUGAAGAUAACAUUGGGAAAAUAGGCUUACAGCAUAGUAGCAAUAUUCAGUUUUCAGAUUUGGACAUUUCUUACCUUGGAAAUGUGUUUGUUGUUUGUGACAACAUGGGCAAUUUAUAUUUAUUUCAACUACUUUCCGUGGCAGAACUGAAUGGGCCGCUAACUGUUGCCUAUGCCACAUUACAACUUGAAUAUUGUUUGGUUACUGGCUUGGAUUGGUGGGAUUUGGCCAUCUCGUUAAGACCUAACAUGUUAGAGGCUGUGUGCAAUCGCUUUAGUGAAAACUUCCAAAAACAAUCUCAGGUACUUCAACAAAAAGAGUACACUACCUAUUUGAGUAUUCGUUCUUUUCUAUACAAAAUGAUGCCGGGAGCACAAGGAAAGCGUUCUGACUUAAUGCAUUUAAUGACAUUACAUUCCAUAUGCAAUGCAUUCAAAAAUGUUUUACGUGUCAGUGACAUCAUGGUUGAUCGGGAUCCAGCUGAAAAUAUAUCAAAUGCGCUUAAAGAACCUAUUGUGGACAUAGACAAAAUUUUACCAAGCUUGGGUGGUAAAGACUUUACUGUAGAACCUAGCACCCUUCAAUCACUCCAUCAACUUAUUCAAUGGGUAGCACAGCUCGCUUUAAAUGUAGUUUCCAGAAUACCAGAACCACGGGACAAUGUUGGAUACAACUUAUUAAAUGAUUUGUAUGCCAUAAAUUCAAUAAGAGAACUAUUACUCAUGAUUCGUAUAUGGGGUCUGUUAAGGCCUAAUUGUUUACCUGUUUUUAUAAAAAAUAUUGACAAUUUAGAUGUUUUGUCUGUCACAUUCCGUUUACUUUCCCGAUUUGUUCAACUAGGUGGUGAACAUGAUGAAAUGUUGUUUGAUGAAUGCUAUACACUUCAAAGCCAGGUUAAUAUAACUCCACUUUCAUCAGUCGCUGCAGGAAUUCAUGAAGUUGCAUCUCCUGCUCUUUACUACCAGCAUUUACCAUUGAAGUUGGUUUUUGGACAAGAACCAGAUUGUUUGAGAUAUAAUACAUCUUCCAUAGAUACAAUAACAAAUGGGAAACAACAAUCAGACUACAUGAAGGAUUAUGAUGUCAUAAGGAAUGUAUACAUUGGUAAAUGUCCACUAAUUGUGAAGCAGUGUAAUAGAUGUGAAGGUAAAAUGCAGUUGGUAGGAAAUUCAAGAACAGCAGCCAUUAGAGUGUGGGAAAAUAGGUGGGCAAGAAAUUGCCGAUGUGGUGGCAGGUGGAGGACAGUCAAGGUAGGUGGGCAAUAGCCUGUAAGUUUAAUAAUAGACAAUUAUAUUAUUACUAUAAUUAUUAUUAUAAAAUCUAAAAUUCAGUAAUCAUUAUUUAUACGAUUUGUGUCCAAAAAAGUCAUUUAAUUUUAAUAWUUUUAAUGAUUAUCACUUUAUCAAUUAGAUAAAUCUGUUUUAUAUAAAAUUUAUUAUUUAAUUAUAUUUUGUUAAAUUUUCUAUAAUACCGUGUAUUUGAUAAUAAAUAAUAAAUCAAAUUGUAUUCUUAUACCAAACAGAUAAUAUCAUCAAGGUCAAGAAGAUUUUAUACAAACCAUUAGUAUAAGGUAAUCUUUCAAAUUUUAUUUUGAUCUCUGAAAUGUUAGUUAAAUAUAAUUAAUUUUAGAACAGUUCAAUGAUGUAUUUACUAUUACAAUAYCUUAUGAUAAUUAAUUUAUCGUUCAUAUUAAAAUAUACGAUAACUUGUAAUAAAUGAAAGUUUCUUAUGUUUAAUAUUGUUAUCUUGAUYACACUUACACGGUUAAGUAUAUUCUAAUUUAUAAACAAAUCAACAGUACUGUAUAUAGCUGCUGGAAAAUAAUUAUGCUAAUUUAUUUUGGCGUAGAGACGAGGUGAAAGUUCAAAUACACUGGACGUGCUACUCUUGCCAACGUAUUACCUAACAUAUAAU